rnacentral:rRNA from 1 species
GACGAACGCUGGCGGCGUGCUUAACCCAUGCAAGUCGAGGGACCGGCGCACGGGUGAGUAACACGUAUCCAACCUGCCCUUUACUCGGGGAUAGCCUUUCGAAAGAAAGAUUUAUACCCGAUGUAAAGGAUGGGGAUGCGUUCCAUUAGGUUGUUGGUGAGGUAACGGCUCACCAAGCCUUCGAUGGAUAGGGGUUCUGAGAGGAAGGACAACCACAAUGGAACUGAGACACGGUCCAAACUCGUACGGGAGGCAGCAGAGAGGAAUAUUGGUGAAUGGGCGUUAGCCUGAACCAGCAAAGUAGAGUGAAGGAUGAAGGCUUAUGGGACGUAAACUUCUUUUAUAUAAGAAUAGGUAUUAUAUGAAUAAGGAUCGGCUAACUCCGUGCCAGCAGCCGCGGUAAUUC